UGGCGGACGGGUGAGUAAUGUCUGGGAAACUGCCCGAUGGAGGGGGAUAACUACUGGAAACGGUAGCUAAUACCGCAUAACGUCGCAAGACCAAAGAGGGGGACCUUCGGGCCUCUUGCCAUCGGAUGUGCCCAGAUGGGAUUAGCUAGUGGUGGGGUAACGGCUCACCUAGGCGACGAUCCCUAGCUGGUCUGAGAGGAUGACCAGCCACACUGGACUGAGACACGGCCAG
rnacentral:rRNA from 1 species